CCUGACGAACUGUUGCUGGAGUAACUGCAUACUCCUCCCCGUCAUAGGAAAACACAAUUGAUGGUGAUCCAUCUGCACCACCAUUGUCAUAUGUACCCGUCCUCCAAAAGCUGAUGAUUUGGCUUCCUGAAAGUCUUGCAGGAGCGGUGAGAGCUGUACCGAUGACACUUUGUGCCAAGAAUCGCUGAAAGGGAUGAUAAUCCCUUGGGGCUUCA
rnacentral:lncRNA from 1 species